rnacentral:rRNA from 1 species
UACGUAGGCAGCGAGCGUUGUUCGGAGUUACUGGGCGUAAAGGGUGUGUAGGCGGUUCUCUAAGUUUGGUGUGAAAUCUCCCGGCUCAACCGGGAGGGUGCGCCGAAAACUGGGGGACUCGAGUGCGGGAUGGGAGAGUAGAAUUCCUGGUGUAGCGGUGAAAUGCGUAGAUAUCUGGAGGAACACCGGUGGCGAAGGCGGCAUCCUGGACCGGUAUUGACGCUGAGGCGCGAAAGCCAGGGGAGCAAAGCGGG